AUAAUGUGGCAGGGGAGAUGAUACCAUGAUCACUAAGGUGGUUCUUCCAGGGCGAGUCUCAUCCUUUGUACUAUGGGUGUGCUGACCCCUACAAUUUCCCCAAAUCGGGGAAACUCAACUGCAUAAUUUUUAGAAGUGGAACACUGCAUUUGCGCUCUCCCC